rnacentral:rRNA from 1 species
GACGAACGCUGGCGGCGUGCUUAACACAUGCAAGUCGAACGAAGAGCGAUGGAAGCUUGCUUCUAUCAAUCUUAGUGGCGAACGGGUGAGUAACGCGUAAUCAACCUGCCCUUCAGAGGGGGACAACAGUUGGAAACGACUGCUAAUACCGCAUACGAUCCAAUCUCGGCAUCGAGACUGGAUGAAAGGUGGCCUCUAUUUAUAAGCUAUCACUGAAGGAGGGGAUUGCGUCUGAUUAGCUAGUUGGAGGGGUAACGGCCCACCAAGGCGAUGAUCAGUAGCCGGUCUGAGAGGAUGAACGGCCACAUUGGGACUGAGACACGGCCCAGACUCCUACGGGAGGCAGCAGUGGGGAAUCUUCCGCAAUGGACGAAAGUCUGACGGAGCAACGCCGCGUGAGUGAUGACGGCCUUCGGGUUGUAAAGCUCUGUUAAUCGGGACGAAUGGUUCUUGUGCAAAUAGUGCGAGGAUUUGACGGUACCGGAAUAGAAAGCCACGGCUAACUACGUGCCAGCCGCCGCCGUAACAC